rnacentral:tRNA from 1 species
AGAGAAUAGUUUAAAAAAAAUAUUAAUUUUGGAGAUUAAUGAUAAAAGUAUAUUUUUUCUCUGA